AGCUCAGACUUUUGCAACUCCAGCUCUGUCUUUUGCAAUUCCAGCUCGUUUAUCUUAGCUGCUUGGGCUGAAAUGUGACAAAACAACAAAGGUUUGAAAACGUUAACUUUCCUCUUUUUGGGAAGAAGUUUUUUUAUUGUGAUGUUUUAUUGAAUUGCUUUACUUUGCAGAUAAACUGCUUUCAAAACUCAAGUAAUUUUUUUUUAUGACUGAGGUACAAAUUGUAGCUAGCAGCACAUCGAACAACCAAUAAUCACAUUCCACCUUUAAAGAUGAAGAACCAGAUAGAGUUGGAGGAACCCACUGGAGCAUUCAGAAAUCACUCAGUCAUCUCUGUUGACAUAACCAACAUACCUUCGUUGUCUCUCUGUAAGUACUUCACCUCGACCUUCAGUGCAGCCACAGAGGCGAUCAUCUCUUUCAGCAGAGCAGGAAUGUCAUAUGAACAGGUCUGUUGAUGUUCAGAAACAUUUCCCAGUUCUCUUCCCUGCGAUGCAGUUUGCUUUAAAUGUGCAAUAAUUUCAUUGUCAGACUCUGCUUGUAGCUGAGCUGUGAAGAAAAAGCUGAUUAUCAGAAACAG